UCCGGUUCUUCACCAGCAGUCUCCUUAGAGUGCCCGGCUCUACCCGAUGGCAACUAAGAACAAGGGUUGCGCUCGUUGCGGGACUUAACCCAACAUCUCACGACACGAGCUGACGACAGCCAUGCAGCACCUGUUUCUAAGCUCCUUGCGGCACGCCCAUCUCUCAACAGGCUUCCUAGAAUGUCAAAGGUAGGUAAGGUUCUUCGCGUUGCAUCGAAUUAAACCACAUGCUCCACCGCUUGUGCAGGCCCCCGUCAAUUUCUUUGAGUUUCAACCUUGCGGCCGUACUCCCCAGGCGGAGAACUUAUCGCGUUUGCUUCGCUACCAAUGGGUCUUACCCCAACAACAGCUAGUUCUCAUCGUUUACAGCGUGGACUAC
rnacentral:misc_RNA from 1 species